rnacentral:rRNA from 1 species
UAGGGAAUCUUCCACAAUGGGCGCAAGCCUGAUGGAGCAACACCGCGUGAGUGAAGAAGGUCUUCGGAUUGUAAAGCACUUUCGACGGGGACGAUGAUGACGGUACCCGUAGAAGAAGCCCCGGCUAACUUCGUGCCAG